UGAGACGUUGAUGAUGCUCCUAUCACCAUGGUUAUGUGAUUGGGUAUAUCUUGCCCUCGGUCCUAACUGCCACUGUCUGUGCUGAGUUUUUCAAAGUUCAUAGCAGGUUGAACAUGCUUGCUGUCAUUUUCACAGAUUCUGGUCUUUCUUAUGGGGAACCUGAGUUCCUGCAUUAAAGUUCCCCCAGAAGAUCAAUGGAAGGUGGAUUCCAAAGAGUGGGCAAGUGAGGACCCCUUCUCUGUUACCAAGGUGACCCCAAGGAACACAGUAAAUGAAAUUUUAAGAAGAUAUAGCCUCUACACCAAGAGGCACAUGACACAACCUGGACUCUGGGCAAACCACCGGGUGCACUCACAUGAAGUGGCGGCUUAUUUGGCCUCCCCAGGACGGACUGGAGCAUCAGUAGUGCCUGAGUUCAUCAAAGGACAGAUGCUCAAGACACCUUGAUCACCAUUAGGUGGAAUUGAAGGAGCCAAAAAUGGGCGCAGUGGCUCCUCAGCAGAGACGCUCCUGAAUGUAUAGACAUGGGAACCACUUUCAGCAUCAAAAAAGGAAACGUUCUGCAUGCCCAUAUCCAGAAAAAUCCCCACUCGCUGUAACUUGCGGUCUACUAAGAGGAAAGUCAGCGGCACCGUGCUGGCAGAGAGGCGGCUUCCAUCCCUCAAACUCACAGUCCAGAAUCCAAGCUCUGUGGUCAGCUGGAUCUUCCCUUUGCAGUGAACAGAUUCUCUGCAGACUCCCAGGUCCCAUUCUGUGCUUGUUCCCACGUCCACCUCCCAGUAGUGGCGGCCACAGGUAAAGCGAGGGGAGCCCAGGAUGCAAACGGACACGUCAAAUCUCUCGGCAAGGUCUUGCCGAUUCUGUGUGAUGAGCCCACUUCGGACGCUCCUGAGGUCGUCAGAAAUGAGGAGGAAGUUGUUGGCUGUGUCGGCAUCCAAGGUCAUAUCCACUGUGAAAAGGAAAACAAGUUGCUCAGCAAGUGGACAGAAGCCAACCCCAUGCCUCUCUUCUACUUCAAAGGCCCAAAUAUCUCCUGACUUUAGUUUCUUUAAUUCUGUUUCUUCCUCCAAAAUCAAAACUUUUCAUGAGGAAACUUCCCUAUUUCAAAUUUUCAUAGGUAUGCUUUGUGGCAAUACGUGACUCUUAUUCACAGUAGCAAUUCUUAUUUUACUUUACGUCACGUGUUUGCUUCACUGAACUUUUCUUCAUUUAGAGUGGAGGGUCUCUGAAGGCAGACACCAUGCCCCCCUUUCUACCACCUUGAUGUGUGAACAAAUAAAUGAUAAUUAAGACAA